AAAAAAAUUGAGCGCCGCAUGCACCGUCCAUCCUUUCACUGUAACUGCUGCGUGUUCUUGGCGCCUUAGGAUCUACGGUUCCCUUUUUGUACAUUUUAGUACUGAAAUGAACUGAGCGACGCUUUACUCCUUUCUUUGCGUCCAAACAUCCAUUGCUCAAUUUAACAAAUUUUCUCUUAGAUUUCAUGCUUCUGCUUUACAGUUAUUAUUUCUCUGAUGACUAAUGAUUCUCUGCCCCGUAUGAUCGCCGCUACUUCGCUGCUCCUAUCCCCGAAACAAAUCGCGGUUUUCAACUCUGGUCAUCACUAUUCCGGUAGUUUGUUCUGUUCUAUUCCUUUAGGAUUUGUCUCAAAUUUGGGUUUUGGAGGGGAGCGUGCUCUGUCGACGGUGGGGGGUCCCAGGAUGAUGGGGUACUUGCGGAGAAUUGGUGGCGGCUGGUUCAAGGGGGGUAAUGGGAAAGCGCUGAAGAUUGAGGCUGACGGUGGCGGCGAGGACGUUUUUUAUGCGGCGGCUGCUAAGGCGAGGGAUCCGCCAGAUCAUAUCGUCAUCAUGAUAAAUGGGAUCGUAGGGAGUUCUGCAGAUUGGAAGUAUGCUGCAGAGCAAUUUGUGAAGAAACUUCCUGACAAAGUAAUUGUGCACCGCAGUGAAUGCAACUAUUCAAAAUUGACAUUUGAUGGUGUUGAUUUGAUGGGUGAAAGGCUAGCUAAAGAGGUAUUGGCCGUUGUCAAACAUAAGCCUGAGUUACGGAAGAUCUCCUUUGUGGCUCACUCAUUAGGUGGCCUUGUUGCGAGGUAUGCUAUUGCAAGGCUGUAUGAAAAUUUACCAAAAUUGGGUCUCUCAAGUCUUUCUGUGAAUUCCUUAAGUCAAGAACAUAUGAAUUCAGUGCAAUGCCCUGAGCAGCUUUAUGAAGCCAGAAUUGCUGGAUUGGAACCCACGAAUUUUAUAACAUUUGCAACUCCACAUCUUGGUUCAAGAGGAAAUAAACAGCUCCCAUUUCUCUGUGGUCUCCAUUUUCUUGAGAGAAGAGCAUCCCAGACUGCUCAUUUAAUUGUUGGAAGGACUGGAAAGCAUCUCUUUCUCACUGACAAUGAUGGUGGGAAACCUCCCCUCCUCCUUCAAAUGGUUAAUGACUCUGAUGACCUAAGAUUCAUAUCAGCUUUACGUGCUUUUAAGCGUCGUGUAGCAUAUGCAAAUGCAAAUUAUGAUCGUAUCCUUUUCUCUGCUACAGUAAACUUUUGUUUUAUGAAUAUCUUUUUGUAUAUGAUCUUUUCUCUACCUUUUAUGUGAAUCACUUCACUUAUAUUUAAGAUAUGGUCGGGUGGAGGACUUCGUCAAUUAGGCGUCAACAGGAACUUCCUAAGCCCAACCUUCUUGUGACAAAUCAGAAAUAUCCACAUAUUGUGUAUGUUGAGCAAGAAACAAUGAGCAACUGCCGUAAUAAAGAAUCUACUGCCAUUAGGGACCAAACAACUGAUUUGGAAGAGGAGAUGAUUAAAGGUCUCACUCAAGUACCAUGGGAACGUGUCGAUGUUAGCUUUCACAAAAGCAGACAGCGGUAUAUUGCUCAUAGUACCAUUCAGGUGAAGACAUACUGGUUAAAUUCUGAUGGUGCCGAUGUGGUUUUCCAUAUGAUAGAUAAUUUCCUUCUCUAGCUAUCUACUAGUUGUUCGCAUCCAGUUGGUGAUUUAACAUUGGAAUGGUUUGCUUCUGUUUUUGUGUAUCAUAUACAUGUCAUAUGUGAAUCCAUUGCAACACGUAUUUGAUGUCAAUGAGGAGAUACUGGGGAUGCUAUGGUGGUGGUCCGAUCUAUAUCCUUGUAUGUGGCUUGUUUGCUUACUUCAUGUAUAUUGGCAUUGCUUUUCAAAAGUUAUAAUUUCUCAUCUACCAAAUGAGAAGUCAUAUAGAGGUGAUUUUGUGCUUACUGCAUUGAGGUGAGCUUUACAUUCAACUUGAUUGAAAAAUUUAUCUUAUAUCCUCAAUUGUUGGGAAAAUAUAAAGAAUAUGGUGGUUAGGUGGUUUUUUUUU
rnacentral:misc_RNA from 1 species